CCUACGGGUGGCAGCAGUCGAGAAUCAUUCACAAUGGGGGAAACCCUGAUGGUGCGACGCCGCGUGGGGGAAUGAAGGUCUUCGGAUUGUAAACCCCUGUCAUGUGGGAGCAAAUUAAAAAGAUAGUACCACAAGAGGAAGAGACGGCUAACUCUGUGACAGCAGCCGCGGUAAUACAGAGGUCUCAAGCGUUGUUCGGAACCACUGGGCGUAAAGCGUGCGUAGGCUGUUUCGUAAGUCGUGUGUGAAAGGGGCGGGCUCAACCCGCGGACGGCACAUGAUACUGGGAGACUAGAGUAAUGGAGGGGGAACCGGAAUUCUCGGUGUAGCAGUGAAAUGCGUAGAUAUCGAGAGGAACACUCGUGGCGAAGGCGGGUUCCUGGACAUUAACUGACGCUGAGGCACGAAGGCCAGGGGAGCGAAAGGGAUUAGAUACCCUUGUAGUC
rnacentral:rRNA from 1 species